UAAGGAAUAUUGGUCAAUGGACGCAAGUCUGAACCAGCCAUGCCGCGUGAAGGAUGAAGGUCCUCUGGAUUGUAAACUUCUUUUAUCUGGGACGAAAACGGGAUUUUUAUCUCAAUUGACGGUACCAGAGGAAUAAGCACCGGCUAACUCCGUGCCAGCAGCCGCAGUAAUACGGAGGGUGCAAGCGUUAUCCGGAUUCACUGGGUUUAAAGGGUGCGUAGGUGGGCAGGUAAGUCAGUGGUGAAAUCUCCGGGCUUAACCCGGAAACUGCCGUUGAUACUAUUUGUCUUGAAUAUUGUGGAGGUAAGCGGAAUAUGUCAUGUAGCGGUGAAAUGCUUAGAUAUGACAUAGAACACCAAUUGCGAAGGCAGCUUACUACACAAUCAUUGACGCUGAGGCACGAAAGCGUGGGGAUCAAACA
rnacentral:rRNA from 1 species